AUUGAACGCUGGCGGAAUGCUUUACACAUGCAAGUCGAGCGGCAGCGCGGUCUUCGGACUGGUGGCGAGCGGCGAACGGGUGAGUAAUACAUCGGAACAUGCCCAGUCGUGGGGGAUAACACUUCGAAAGAAGUGCUAAUACCGCAUACGUCCUGAGGGAGAAAGCGGGGGAUCGUAAGACCUCGCGCGAUUGGAGUGGCCGAUGUCAGAUUAGCUAGUUGGUGGGGUAAAGGCCUACCAAGGCAACGAUCUGUAGCUGGUCUGAGAGGAUGAUCAGCCACACUGGGACUGAGACACGGCCCAGACUCCUACGGGAGGCAGCAGUGGGGAAUUUUGGACAAUGGGGGCAACCCUGAUCCAGCCAUUCCGCGUGAGUGAAGAAGGCCUUCGGGUUGUAAAGCUCUUUCGGCAGGAACGAAACGGCGAGCUCUAACAUAGCUCGCUAAUGACGGUACCUGAAGAAGAAGCACCGGCUAACUACGUGCCAGCAGCCGCGGUAACAC
rnacentral:rRNA from 1 species